rnacentral:rRNA from 1 species
UCCAGACUCCUACGGGAGGCAGCAGUGGGGGAUAUUGCACAAUGGGGGGAACCCUGAUGCAGCGACGCCGCGUGGGUGAAGGAGCGUUUCGGCGCGUAAAGCCCUAUCGGCAGGGAAGAAGGAGGACGGUACCUGACUAAGAAGCCCCGGCUAACUACGUGCCAGCAGCCGCGGUAAUACGUAGGGGGCAAGCGUUAUCCGGAUUUACUGGGUGUAAAGGGGGCGCAGACGGCAGCGCAAGCCAGGAGUGAAAGCCCGGGGCCCAACCCCGGGACUGCUCUUGGAACUGCGCGGCUGGAGUGCAGGAGGGGCAGGCGGAAUUCCUGGUGUAGCGGUGAAAUGCGUAGAUAUCAGGAGGAACACCGGUGGCGAAGGCGGCCUGCUGGACUGCGACUGACGUUGAGGCCCGAAAGCGUGGGGAGCAAACAGGAUGAGAUACCCUCGUA